GGAGGCUUCUGUAAGGAAAUGAAUGGCCUGAAGCAUAGAGCUAAAAAUGAGAAGUUAAGUAGAUAGAGGGAGUGUGAGGAAGAGGCAGCGUAGGGAGCUGAGAGAAAGCCUGAGGAACCCGUUAGUGCAGAGACUAUUUGGGGGGAUUUGGGCUCUGAGUUAGAGGAACAGGAAAUCACUGAAGGGCUGCAGAUAAUAAAAGUGGGCUUGCAUUUUAAAAAGCGCUAGGAUGCUUCAGGUCACAUGACACCCUGCCAGCCGCAUUCCCACCACACGAGGAGCCUAUUGGAAGAAAGACACAUUCCAUUUUGUGGUUUGAUCUCUCUCUCUCUCUCUCUCUCUCUGUGUGUGUGUGUGUGUGUGUGUGUGUGUGUGUGUGUGUGUGUGCCCAGCAAGAAUUCAGAGGAAUGCAUUUGCCAUGGCUUGACAGAAAGUCCCCAAGCACCACUCCCUCCCCAGGUGCCACGCUUCACCCCUGCAAGCGUGAGGACAUCACAUUGCACGGAUGAAGGAGUAGAAAUGGAGUAGAAGGCAGGAAGCUGACGCCUAUGGUCAGGGUAGGGGCACGUGACCUCCUGGACUGGGCGGGUGAGCUCAGUAUGCUGUACACCGACGAGCUGAGCGCUGAGGUCACAGACUGGGCAAAAUGGAGAAAGACAAGUAUCUCUUUGGAGAUUUUACUUCUUUGAGAACAAGAAAUGGGCACCCGCUUAGUUCUACAAUUCCGAGGUUAGAAUAUAUCUCGUGACACUCAGUUCUCUCCUACCAUGUGGCUCUUGCUCUGAGGAUCAGACUCGGGGUGGCAAGCUUGGCGACAGACAAAAGAUUAAUUAGCACCCGCCGUGAAAUGAAGUGGUGUGUGAAGAUGACAUGUUGCUUCUCUGAGACCUUAGGCAAGUGUUAUGUGUUAACUGUCAACUUGACAGAAUCCGGAACCACUUGGGAGCUUAACAUCCAGGGAGCACAGCUCUAGGUGGUGAGCUGGGGGCUGGAGGACUGAGAAUCGAGGAGAAGCCUCCGUUCUCCACAGUCCCUUAAGAACCAAGGUUGGCUUUUCCAUCUUAGCUUGUUAUGAAGGUCACCACCCAGAAGGCAGAAAAAGAAAGAACUCGGGGAACCAUGCAGAAGAGGAUUAUCAUGAGAUUCACAGCGGGCCAUGGACUUCUGCUUACUGAUGUAAAACUCAGUCCCUCCACCCCACUAAACUACAAGGAAGCCUGGGCGAUAUGGUCUCCACGCAUUCUCUACGAAAAAGGUCAGCAGUGACGGGUCUGUCAGUGGGUGAUCACUGAGCCUUCUCGGAAGACUCCUAGUUAGACCUAAAGACGCUAGCACGAAACCUCAUUCCAGAGAUAAGAAGAGAGGAAAGGGAGGGUUUGGGGACCUCUCUCAGCUGUCUUUUACUUCAGUGGAAAUACAACAGUCCUAAAUUCACCAAUCGACCGUGUCGCACCUUGACUGGCCAGAAACUAAGCUUGUUUCUUAGCAUGGGUUUGAAAGGUUGACAUAAACUCCAUUUGUCUCCGCUUAAAGACCAAACCUGAUUACCAAAAGAAGACGUAAGGCACCAGCUCCAGGAACAGACCGUAAAAUCCACAGUAAGCUCAUAAAACCCCCUCCCAAAGAGUAGCCUGGGGAUAACCACAGAAGUAGGGAAAUGUCUUAUCUCAGGAUGGACCAUCUGCGCUGGGCAGCCCUAUCUCAUCCUAUGACUAAACAUUCAUGACAUAAGAAUGCAGACCGCUGGCCAGCUGUGACCCCCUAGCACCCAACAGUGCAAUUUUAGAUUACCCAAUCCUUCUAGAGGUUCCCCCAGUUCCCUUCUUAUAAGCCCUGCGUGCCUUUGUCUUGGGUCGCCAUUUUAAAGAAUGGUUAACCCCUGGUUGUUUCUGCAGAAAAAAUGUUGUUUGUCUUUGCAUACUAUCUGAGUCUGGGGUCUUCCUUCAGCAAUUUUGAGACUCUUACAGGGAUAUAAGCAAGGUAGCCUGAAAGUACAAAGGGACAACCAGGGCUAUACAGAGAAACCCUGUCUCAAAAAAAACAAAAACAAACAAACAAAAAGUACAAAGGGAUGACUGUCCACAAACAAAGCAGAAGGUGAAGUGGGCCUGGCAGGUAGGAGGAGGGUCUGUCAAGGUUUCCUUCGUAUCAGCCAGACAAAAAAGAGCCUCGUGCUUCUCUACAGAUUAAUAGCUCAAUGCACUGCAGGGUAUUUAUAAGAUUGGGAUAGUACACAGGAAUGAGGCAGGAAAACAAAACAAAACAAAACAAAAAAACAUUGCUACAAGUAACACAUUGGUUGCACAGAUAUUAAGUUGAGU